CCCUCGACCGGCCUCCCGCAUGGUGUAGGGGCUGAGGUGAGGAGGAUGGAGAGGCGGCGGGUGGAGGGGACGAGUGGUCUUCCCUAGGAUGUGCACGGGGAGAAGGAUGCGCAUGUGUUGCCGCAGCAAGAAGGAAGUCCCCACCCUGAAGAUGUUCCUUGCUGCAGAUUUAUGGAUAGAUGUGAAUUAGGGAGAGCGGUUCGAAUACUACCAUCAGAAAAAUCUAUUUGAGAAUCACAGUUUUUUCUGGUCUCGAAAAAUGUAUUAAGUUCAAUCUGAACUUUAUCUUCAGAGAAGAUGGUGUUUGUUUCCUGCAGACCGUCUGCCAAUACCCGAGGACUGAUGAUCAAGCUUAUAAUAUAUAGAAGAACGAGGAGGCAUUGUAAUCGCUGCUGAAGAAUUAUAUCCAUUCAAACAAGGAUGGUGCCUCUCGAUUGAAGAUUUAGAAAUAUUAUCACAUUUUCCAAUUAGAAAUGAGGUAGUA